rnacentral:lncRNA from 1 species
UGUCAAAAUAUUGUGUGAAUGGCCGAAUACCUUGGCCUUGAGUUUUGUAUAUUAUAUAUAGACUUUACAAGGAUGCUAUACAUGGAAAGCAAAUAAAAGCAAAUAAAUUCCCUCAUGAUUCUAGUCCUAUACAUGUAAACUAUAAUCUGUCAAAUAAUAUAUGCUAACUGUACAGAAUAAUAAAUGGAGAAAUAAGGAAACAAUUGUAGGCUAAAAUAAGGAAAGAAGUGUGGGUUAAAAUAAGGAAAGAAGUGUGGACAGCAAAGCUGUCCUUUGACAGCCCCCCUCAAAUUGAUGCAGGUUGAUCAACAAACAUCAAUUUGCUACUUAGCAAGCAAUGUCGAUGACGAGGGAGAGCCUUGGUGAAGAUAUCGGCAAUUUGUAAGUCAGUGGAAAUAUGUGGAAGAGUGAUAACACGAGCUUCAAAGGCUUCACGGAUAGAGUGACAAUCCACUUCAAUAUGCUUUGUGCGCUCAUGAUAGACAGGAUUGGCCGUGAUCUGAAUAGCACUUGUAUUAUCGGCAUGUAGAGGUGUAGGAUCGGUCUCAGAAAAAUUUAACUCCGCAAGCAAACCUAGAAGCCAAAUGAUUUCAGAACAAGCAAGAGACAUCGCCCAGUACUCAGAUUCAGUAGAUGACUUAGAGACUCUGUCUUGCUUCUUACUUUUCACAAACAUCCUAAACUAAAACUCCCUACUAAGAUAGUUUUUGCCAUUGAAACGAACAAUAGAAUAUUCUCCAGACAUUACAAAAACAGAAAUAGCCUAGGAAACAAAAAAAACAUCGUCAAAGAGCCUAAAUCUGAUAACAAACCUCCAAAUAAUCGAAGAUCUCCAAGAGCCUAGAAUCGAAGAAACCCAAAGAAAACUCCAAGAUCACAUCACAGAUGUGUUGUCACAACCACCAGAAAAAAGAACAAGAACCGAAAAGCUAGGCUAGAGUCCGAGAGCCCCUAGGGCUAAAUCCGAGAGCCCCUAGGGCUAAAUCCGAGAGCCCCUAGGGCUAAAUCUGAGAGCCCCUAAGGCUAAAUCCAAGAGCCCCUAGGGCUAAAUCCGAGAGCCCCUAGGGUUAAAUCCGAGAGCCCCUAGGGUUAAAUCCGAGAGCCCCUAGGGCUAAAUCCGAGAGCCUCUAUGGCUAAAUCCGAGAGCCCCUAGGGCUAAAUCUGUGAGCCCUUAGGGCUAAAUCCGAGAAAACCCAAAGAAAAACCUAGAAAGCGUGUAAACUCUAGGUUCAAAACACAAGCUCUGAUACCAUGUCAAAAUAUUGGUGAAUGGCCGAAUACCUUGGCCUUGAGUUUUGUAUAUUAUAUAUAGACUUUACAAGGAUGCUAUACAUGGAAAGCAAAUAAAAGCAAAUAAAUUCCCUCAUGAUUCUAGUCCUAUACAUGUAAACUAUAAUCUGUCAAAUAAUAUAUGCUAACUGUACAGAAUAAUAAAUGGAGAAAUAAGGAAACAAUUGUAGGCUAAAAUAAGGAAAGAAGUGUGGGUUAAAAUAAG